rnacentral:tRNA from 1 species
CGAAGUUGUAGUUUAAGAAAAAUAUUAGCAUUGGAAGCUAAAGAUUGGGUAGUAUAAUCCUACUCUUCGA